AAAACAACUUCCCGCUAGGUUUUGUCUUUGCAACCUUACUAGCACUCAACAGAUUUGG
rnacentral:snoRNA from 1 species